GCAUCACAAUUCAAUUGCAUAAAACUCAAAAUUUUGUUUCUUGGUUAAAAAAAAUGUAAUUUAUACAGUAAACAUCAGCUUGUUACGAAAACAGAUAGAAUAGUUCCAGGAGAAAGAAAAUCUUUCCCCCCCUUUUUCCAUCAUCUUCUAUGUUCAGGAUUGGCUUGUAGCAGGUUAGGCAGAUGAUUAAUGUAUACAAGACCAUGAUGUGCCGUGCCUUACAUCAGUGCAUAUGUGAUCUAUAUACAUUUAUGCAACAUAAUAACUUUUAUCUCAUAGGUUAACACCAUUGUCAACAAUUUUUCAAUAGUUCGGGAUAGUUUUAUUAAUUUUGACAUUUCAUAAUAGUUUUCUCUAAUAAAAUCCUUAUGAUAUCUGCAGACCUAUUGACGUAACAAGCCGUGGGAUCCACUGAACGUAGCACGCUGUUUCGCUCAAACCACUGAUACAACACUUGAUUAUUGGGUUUACCUAUUUAAGCCGCACAAAUUUUUCGCACUUUCCCGCUGUGGGGACUAUUUCACUUGGGGGUCUCACAUAAGGGCACUUAACUAGUACUCAUGAACUUAGGUUUAGAGAAGAAUAGAAUUGCAGAUGACCCCCUCCCUUGUGAAACCAGGAGUGUUACGUGCUACUAAAAUAGUUAAGAAGUGAUAAGUUCAAUCGAGUCCAGGGGGGUUAUUUGCUAUCCAUCCUCUGUGAGUUUUU